AAAAAACAAAGUCAGAUUCUCACGCUUGAUUCUUGUAAGCUGAAAAGUAAAAACCUUAGAUCGUGUUUCAGCGAUUUCUUCUUUGAUCGAUGUCGCCGUUGUCUUCAGCUUGUUCUUUGUCAUCUUAUCAGUUCACAUAUACAGCUCACUCUACUAUUCCGCAUACCCAAGCUCCAUAACCAUACGCCACUCCUUCACCUUAUUUUCCGGCGCCGGUAGAGACCAUUACUGGAGUUGCAGUCUAUCCUCAACAUGUUAAACGGAUUUAUGUUGUAUACGCUUACCCUCAAUACAAACAGUUUUUAUAUUCUAUAUUGCUUCCAUGGGUGGAGUUUCUUGACCUGAUGUGCCAACUUGUUAAGGUUUGGGAAAAGGACAGUGUUUGGAUACACAUAUAAGAUAGGUAAGAUCCGAAUGAAAUUAUCUCCAAACUGAUAGGGUCCGCGUCCUUUUGGCACUUUGGAUUACUCAUUUGCCUUUAAUUUUUUUUUUCUUCUUCCUUUCUCUGGGCGUAGGGGCAAUAUAUGGAAUUUUUGUAAAGUUUUUUUUUUUUUUUUUUUUUUUCUGCUUUUGUACUCCCGAUUUAAUAGUAUAGAUACGGUGGACAACAUUAACUAUGAACAUAAUUCUUUUUCUCAUAUAUAUUUUUAGUCUACAAUUUGAUGUCUUGUA